UGGGGACAAUGCAGACUCCCCGUCAGACCUCUCCGUCCAAGCUCUGC
rfam:Bradyrhizobium sp. LTSP885 NODE_42, whole genome shotgun sequence.